GAUGAAGAACGCAGCGAAAUGCGAUACGUAAUGUGAAUUGCAAAUUCAGUGAAUCAUCGAGUCUUUGAACGCACAUUGCGCCCCCUGGUAUUCCGGGGGGCAUGCCUGUCCGAGCGUCAUUACAACCCUCAAGCCUAGCUUGGUAUUGGGCCCCGCCGCCUGGCGGGCCCUAAAGUCAGUGGCGGUGCCGUCCAGCUCCGAGCGUAGUAAUUCUUCUCGCUCUGGAGGCCUGGGCGCGUGCCUGCCAUCAACCCCCAAUUUUAUCAGGUUGACCUCGGAUCAGGUAGGGAUACCCGCUGAACUUAAGCAUAUCAAUAAGCGGAGGA
rnacentral:misc_RNA from 1 species